CCUAAUUUCCUAAUACACACUAGCGAACCCACAGUCUCCUUCUUCUCUAAAGUUUGAAACGGUACCCCUCUCUCUCGCCAUUCUCUGUCGACUCCGGUGAGCGGCCGCCCUGAAUCGCAGCCUCCCUCUGGCGCGACGAGGUCGGCCCCUGUUCUUCCUCCUCCUCUCCUUCCCUUUUGUGCCCUAUUUUUUCCCCAAGAACAAAAUCCUCAAUUUCUAGGGUUUUCAGCCUCCCUUUCCUCUCUGAAUUUCGCCCCUCCGGCGAAUCCCGCCACUACCACCGCCGCCUCGCACAGCUGCUCCCUGCCUCAGGGAGAGCUUGCACUCGCAUUUGGUGAAUUGUUGAGGAAACUCUGGUCUUCUGGUCGAACUCCAGUUGCACCUCGUGUAUUUAAGGGGAAACUUGCCCGUUUUGGUCCCCAGUUUAGUGGUUAUAAUCAGCAUGAUUCACAGCCCAUGCAUCCAAGAAAGGAUAGUUGGCAUCAGGCUGAAGUUUGGAAGCAAGGAUCAAUGUUAGUGACGAGAAGGGGAUGUUACUUCCUAGAAGGGACGAAGAUCAAGAUGGAGAUGAGCUUGAAGGAAGCGUUGGAAACUUGGAGAGGUCGAUGAGGACUUUGUCGGAGUGGAUAAGCUGGGAAGUGAAUCGAAAUAUGUAAUGAUCAUAUAUACUUAAUACUUGGUUCAUUCGGAUGACAAUGUAUGAAUAUUUUGCAUGCUAUAUAGUAUUGUUGUUGUUGAUUUUA